GUUGCUUCUUAUGGUGGACUCCUGUAAAUUUUCAUUGGUUGGGGAUGUUCAAGUUUCCUAUGCAUAGAUAGAAUAUCACAUUUUUGCUUGCAUAUGUUACCGGUCUCCUGUUACAUGU